rnacentral:tRNA from 1 species
UCCCUGGUGGCUCAGAUGGUAAAGCAUCUGCCUGCAAUGCAGGAGACCCGGCUUUGAUUCCUGGGUCGGGAA